rnacentral:misc_RNA from 1 species
GAGUGAUCAGGUCAACACAGCUGAUGCCACUAUUGCUCUCUCUGCUGAGGAUCGUGCAGAUCUUGUCAAUGCCAUCAAGAAUAAGCUUCAUGAUUUGACAAGGGAUCACUCUGCUUUUCUCGAUAAAUUUCCGAAAAACAUUAGGAUGCGUGUUGAUGUCCUCAGAGAUAUUCAGAGCCAAUAUAAUGAAUUAGAGGCACAGUACCUUGAGGAGAAGGCAGCUCUGGAAGCAAAGUUCCACAAGUUGUAUGAGCCACUUUACAACAAGCGAUGUGAGAUUGUGAAUGGCGUGGGUGAAGCUGGAGAUGAAAGUACAGUAGGAGAAGAAACAAAUGAAUCAGCAGGAGAUAAAGGUAUUCCCCAUUUCUGGUUGUUGGCAAUGAAAAAUAAUGAAAUAAUCGCGAAAGAGAUUACUGAGAAAGAUGAAGAUGCCCUCCAGUAUCUCAAAGAUAUCAAAUGGAAUAGACUUGAUGACGCACAUCUGAACCCUAAUUUUCUUCAUUUCUAAACUCAUUCGCCGAUCAAUCUCCGGUCACUUUUUCUCCUACUAAAUCUGUUUAUCAAAUGGCUAGAUCUAGCAUUAUCAACGUAUUCUUCGUUGUAUUCAUCGUUGCUCUUUUCUCAGCUAUGACUGAAACUUCGGCUCAGGAAUUAGGAUUAGCUCCAGCUCCGGCACCUGACGCCGGUGCGGCUUUCUCCUUGCCGUCUUCCAGUGUGUUAGUUGGAACUUCUCUCAUUCUAUGUGUUGCUGCUAUCUUCAGGCAUUAGAAUUUUGAUUUAGUGGUGAUUGUGUGUUUUUUUUUUAAGUUGUGAGACCAGUGUUUAUUGAUUUUCUUAUGGAUUUAGGUGUUUUCCGUAUGUAUUGAGAUUGAUCUAUUGGCAGUAUAUAUUUUCUGAUUAUAAAAUUUUGUUUUGG